UGGGGAAUUUUGCGCAAUGGGCGAAAGCCUGACGCAGCAACGCCGCGUGCGGGAUGAAGGCCUUCGGGUUGUAAACCGCUUUCAGCAGGGAUGAAACUGACAGUACCUGCAGAAGAAGCCCCGGCUAACUACGUGCCAGCAGCCGCGGUAAUACGUAGGGGGCAAGCGUUAUCCGGAUUUAUUGGGCGUAAAGCGCGCGUAGGCGGCUUGUUAAGCGAGAUGUGAAAACCGGGGGCUUAACCCGCGGCCUGCAUCUCGAACUGGCAGGCUUGAGUCUGGUAGAGGAAAGUGGAAUUCCCAGUGUAGCGGUGAAAUGCGCAGAUAUUGGGAGGAACACCAGUGGCGAAGGCGGCUUUCUGGGCCACGACUGACGCUGAGGCGCGAAAGCUAGGGGAGCGAACA
rnacentral:rRNA from 1 species